UGGGGAAUAUUGGACAAUGGGCGAAAGCCUGAUCCAGCCAUGCCGCGUGUGUGAAGAAGGUCUUCGGAUUGUAAAGCACUUUAAGUUGGGAGGAAGGGCAGUAAGCGAAUACCUUGCUGUUUUGACGUUACCGACAGAAUAAGCACCGGCUAACUCUGUGCCAGCAGCCGCGGUAAUACAGAGGGUGCAAGCGUUAAUCGGAAUUACUGGGCGUAAAGCGCGCGUAGGUGGUUCGUUAAGUUGAAUGUGAAAGCCCCGGGCUCAACCUGGGAACUGCAUCCAAAACUGGCGAGCUAGAGUAGGGCAGAGGGUGGUGGAAUUUCCUGUGUAGCGGUAAAAUGCGUAGAUAUAGGAAGGAACACCAGUGGCGAAGGCGACCACCUGGGCUCAUACUGACACUGAGGUGCGAAAGCGUGGGGAGCAAACAGG
rnacentral:rRNA from 1 species